UACAGAGGUGCCAAGCGUUGUUCGGAUUUAUUGGGCGUAAAGGGUGCGUAGGCGGUGAUAUAAGUCGGGUGUGAAAUACCGGAGCCUAACUCCGGAACGGCAUUCGAAACUAUAUCGCUAGAGAACUGGAGAGGUAACUGGAAUUCUCGGUGUAGCAGUGAAAUGCGUAGAUAUCGAGAGGAACACCAAUGGCGAAGGCAGCUCGCUGGGACGGUACUGACGCUGAGACGCGAAAGCGUGGGGAGCAAACAGG
rnacentral:rRNA from 1 species